AUUGAACGCUGGCGGCAGGCCUAACACAUGCAAGUCGAACGAGUGGCGGGCGGGUGAGUAAUGUCUGGGAAACUGCCUGAUGGAGGGGGAAAACUACUGGAACCGGUAGCUAAUACCGCAUACCAUCAGAUGUGCCCAGAUGGGAUUAGCUUGUUGUGGGUGAAACGGCGCACCAAGGCGACGAUCCCUACCUGGUCUGAGAGGAUGACCGGCCAACUGGGACUGGGGACACGGCCCGAACUCCUAGGGGGGGCAGCAUGGGGAAAUAUUGCACAAUGGGCGAAAUCCUGACGCAGAAAUGCCGCGGGUAUGAGGAGGGCCUCCGGGUUGUAAAGUACUUUCAGCGGGGAGGCGGUACCCACAGAAGAAGCACCGGCUAACUCCGUGCCAGCAGCCGCGGUAAUAC
rnacentral:rRNA from 1 species